rnacentral:pre_miRNA from 1 species
GUGUGUGGAUAGUGUUCAGCACCAAGGACAGGUAUGUUUACAUGUGUGUGGAUAGUGUUCAGCACCAAGGACAGGUAUGUUUACCU